ACUCUUUUCGAGGCCCUGUAAUUGGAAUGAGUGUACUUUAAAUCCUUUGGCCAAGUACCGAAUGGAGGCAAAGUCUGGUGCCGCAGCCGCGGGUAAUUCCAGCUCCAAUAGCGUAUCUUAAAGUUGCUGCAGUUAAAAGCUCGUAGUUGGAUCUCGGGGCCGGUUGCUGACGGUCGGCGAAAGGCGUGCCACCGACUGUCCCGGCCCUCCCUCGGCGCCCCUCGAUGCUCUUGGUUGAGUGUCUUGCCGGUUUCGAAGCGUUUACUUUGAAAAAAUAGAGAGUGUUCACAGCAGAACCCCGUUACUAAUACUGCAGCUAGAAUUAAGGAAGUAGGACUCCGUUCUAUUUUGUGGGUUUUCUCAAUGGACUGGGGCCAUGAUUAAGAGGGACGGGCGGGGGCAUUUCGUAUUGCGCCGCUAGAGGUGAAUUCUUGGACGGCGCAAGACGGACGAAAGCGAAGCAUUUGGCCAAGAAUGUUUUUCAUUAAUCAAGAACGAAAGUCGGAGGUUCGAAAGACGAUCAGAUUACCGUCGUAGUUCCGACCAUAAACGAUGCCGACUAGCGAUCCGGGCGGGUUAUUUCCCAUGACCGGCCGGGGCUACCUCGCGGAGAACCAAAGUCUUUGGGUUCCGGGGGAGUAUGGUUGCAAAGCUGAAACUUAAAGGAAUUGACGAGGAGGCACCACCAUGAGUGGAGCCUGCGGCUUAAUUUGACUCAACACGGGCACCUCACCCGGGCCGGGAACGGACAGGUAUUGACAGAUUGAUAGCUCUUUCUCGAUACUGUGGGGUGGGUGGUGCAUGGCCGUUCGUAGUUGGUGGAGCGAUUUGUCUGGUUAAUUCCGACAACGAACGAGACUCUGGCAGGCUAAAUAGUUACGCGGCCCCGUGCGGUCGGCGUCCAGAACUUCUUAGAGGGACAAGUGGCGUACAGCCACACGAGAUUGAGCAAUAACAGGUCUGUGAUGCCCUUAGAUGUCCGGCUGCUUGACGGCGCGCCACACUGAGCGGAUCAGCGUGUGCCCUGCCCUUCGCCCGACAGGCCGUGGGUAACCCGCUGAACCCCGCUCGUUGAUGGGGAUUGGGAGAUUGCAACUAUUUCCCAUGAACGAGGGAAUUCCCAGGUAAGCACGGGUCACAAGCUCGUGUUGAUUAAGUCCCUGCCCUUUGUACACACCGCCCGUCGCUACUAUCCGAUUGGCUUGGCUUAGUGAGGUCCUCGGGAUCGGCCCCGCCGGGAGUCUUCACGGCUCUGGCGCCGCGUGCCGAGAAGACGAUCAAACUUGACUAUCUAGAGAAGUAAAAAGUCGUAACAAGGUUUCCGUAGGUGAACCUGCGGAAG
rnacentral:rRNA from 1 species